rnacentral:rRNA from 1 species
AGAGUUUGAUCCUGGCUCAGGAUGAACGCUGGCGGCAUGCCUAAUACAUGCAAGUCGAACGAAGUUUCGAGGAAGCUUGCUUCCAAAGAGACUUAGUGGCGAACGGGUGAGUAACACGUAGGUAACCUGCCCAUGUGUCCGGGAUAACUGCUGGAAACGGUAGCUAAAACCGGAUAGGUAUACAGAGCGCAUGCUCAGUAUAUUAAAGCGCCCAUCAAGGCGUGAACAUGGAUGGACCUGCGGCGCAUUAGCUAGUUGGUGAGGUAACGGCCCACCAAGGCGAUGAUGCGUAGCCGGCCUGAGAGGGUAAACGGCCACAUUGGGACUGAGACACGGCCCAAACUCCUACGGGAGGCAGCAGUAGGGAAUCUUCCACAAUGGACGCAAGUCUGAUGGAGCAACGCCGCGUGAGUGAAGAAGGGUUUCGGCUCGUAAAGCUCUGUUGGUAGUGAAGAAAGAUAGAGGUAGUAACUGGCCUUUAUUUGACGGUAAUUACUUAGAAAGUCACGGCUAACUACGUGCCAGCAGCCGCGGUAAUACGUAGGUGGCAAGCGUUGUCCGGAUUUAUUGGGCGUAAAGCGAGUGCAGGCGGUUCAAUAAGUCUGAUGUGAAAGCCUUCGGCUCAACCGGAGAAUUGCAUCAGAAACUGUUGAACUUGAGUGCAGAAGAGGAGAGUGGAACUCCAUGUGUAGCGGUGGAAUGCGUAGAUAUAUGGAAGAACACCAGUGGCGAAGGCGGCUCUCUGGUCUGCAACUGACGCUGAGGCUCGAAAGCAUGGGUAGCGAACAGGAUUAGAUACCCUGGUAGUCCAUGCCGUAAACGAUGAGUGCUAAGUGUUGGGAGGUUUCCGCCUCUCAGUGCUGCAGCUAACGCAUUAAGCACUCCGCCUGGGGAGUACGACCGCAAGGUUGAAACUCAAAGGAAUUGACGGGGGCCCG